GACGAACGCUGGCGGCGUGCUUAACACAUGCAAGUCGAACGGAAAGGCCCUGCUUGCGGGGUACUCUCGUGGGGCACGGGUGAGUAACACGUGGGUGAUAUGCCCUGCUCUUCGGGAUAAGCUUGGGGGAAAGUGUCUCAUAUAGGAUAGGAGCCCUCCUUAUUGUUGUGGUUGGAUAGUAUUUUCGGUGGAGGAUGAGCGCGCGGCCUAUCAGCCUGUUGGUGGGGGAAUGGCCUACCAAGGCGGCGUCGGGUAGCCGGCCUGAUUGGGGGUACGGCCACAUUGGUGCGGCGGUGCGGCCCAGACUCCUACUGGAGGCAGCAGUGGGGAAUAUUACACAAUGGGCGCAAGCCUGAUGCAGCGACGCCGCGUGGUGGAUGAAGGCGUUCUGGUUGUAAACUCCUGUCUCCAGGGACGAAGCUGCGUUAUGACGGUACCUAGAGAAGAAGCACCGGCUAACUACGUG
rnacentral:rRNA from 1 species